rnacentral:rRNA from 1 species
GACGAACGCUGGCGGCGUGCUUAACACAUGCAAGUCGAACGGAAAGGCCCUGCUUUUGUGGGGUGCUCGAGUGGCGAACGGGUGAGUAAAACGUGAGUAACCUGCCCUUGACUUUGGGAUAACUUCAGGAAACUGGGGCUAAUACCGGAUAGGAGCUCCUGCUGCAUGGUGGGGGUUGGAAAGUUUCGGCGGUUGGGGAUGGACUCGCGGCUUAUCAGCUUGUUGGUGGGGUAGUGGCUUACCAAGGCUUUGACGGGUAGCCGGCCUGAGAGGGUGACCGGCCACAUUGGGACUGAGAUACGGCCCAGACUCCUACGGGAGGCAGCAGUGGGGAAUAUUGCACAAUGGGCGGAAGCCUGAUGCAGCAACGCCGCGUGCGGGAUGACGGCCUUCGGGUUGUAAACCGCUUUCGCCUGUGACGAAGCGUGAGUGACGGUAAUGGGUAAAGAAGCACCGGCUAACUACGUG